rfam:Loxodonta africana unplaced genomic scaffold scaffold_15, whole genome shotgun sequence.
GCAUUGGUGAUUCAGUGGUAGAAUACUUGCCUCCCCUGAGGGAGACCCAGGUUCAAUUCCUGGCCAGUGCA